GAGUUUGAUCCUGGCUCAGAACGAACGCUGGCGGCGUGCUUAACACAUGCAAGUCGAACGCGAAAGGGGCUUCGGUCCUGAGUAGAGUGGCGCACGGGUGAGUAACGCGUAGAUAACCUGUCCUGGUGUCUGGAAUAAUAUCUCGAAAGGGGUGCUAAUACCGGAUAUUCUUGCUUUCUAUAAGGUAUGCAAGGAAAGGUGGCCUCUGGAACAAGCUACUGCACGAGGAGGGGUCUGCGUACCAUUAGCUAGUAGGUGGGGUAAUGGCCUACCUAGGCGACGAUGGUUAGCGGGUCUGAGAGGAUGAUCCGCCACACUGGUACUGGAACACGGACCAGACUCCUACGGGAGGCAGCAGUGAGGAAUAUUGCGCAAUGGGGGCAACCCUGACGCAGCGACGCCGCGUGAGUGAGGAAGGCCUUCGGGUCGUAAAGCUCUGUCAAAGGGGAAGAAGUGCAUGGUGGUUAAUAUCUGUCAUGUUUGACGGUACCCUUAAAGGAAGCACCGGCUAACUCCGUGCCAGCAGCCGCGGUAAUACGGAGGGUGCAAGCGUUGUUCGGAAUCACUGGGCGUAAAGGGCGCGCAGGCGGUUUGAAUAGUCAGAUGUGAAAGCCCACGGCUUAACCGUGGAAGUGCAUUUGAAACUGUCAGACUUGAGUACCAGAGGGGAAAGUGGAAUUCCCGGUGUAGAGGUGAAAUUCGUAGAUAUCGGGAGGAAUACCGGUGGCGAAGGCGACUUUCUGGCUGGAUACUGACGCUGAGGCGCGAAAGCGUGGGGAGCAAACAGGAUUAGAUACCCUGGUAGUCCACGCUGUAAACGAUGUGCACUAGAUGUAGGGGGGUGUUGAUCCCCUCUGUGUCGCAGCUAACGCAUUAAGUGCACCGCCUGGGGGAGUACGGUCGC
rnacentral:rRNA from 1 species